UGUAGGAUUGGCCUAACCUAACCUGGUCUCGCUCAAGACUCCACGAGACCACGGCGCCUUCCCUCUUUGCCGCCGCCUCCUCCUCUCCUCUUCCCUCUUUCUCCCAUGCUAACUCUCGCCGCCGCCGCCUCCCCCAUCCCAGAUUCUUCUCCUCCGCCGCGCCAUGGCGCUCCCUAUGAUCGAUGUGCCAUCGGGUUCCGCUGUUCUUUGAACUCCGUUGGGUGCCGGGGUGGUGGUCUUAGGAGGAGGGGAGGAGGAAGAAGAAGAGGACCAGGAGAGCCCCGCAGGUGCAGGGGAGGCCGUUCGCGGUGGAGAGGCUGGUGGCGCACAAGGCAUGGACGUGCCUGCCGAGUGCCCAGCCCGCUGACGGCGAUGGGUCUGGAUAAGUUCGGUGUGCUUUUAGGUUGAUUUGAUUCACUCAUUUAUUGGAUUGUGAGAAAGAAGCUACAACCCUUUGAUCCUGCCUGAAAAACAAAAGUAGCCUGCAGUUAAAUCUUGUAAUAAUUGUCCAGUAUGAUUCUUUCUUGCGUCCAGCUUAUAGUUUGAGUGAAAGAAACUACAACUCUUUGGCUCUCACUGGAAAAUGAAACUGACAUUGCAGUUGAAAUCCCCAAAUGACUACCCAGUAUGAGUCUCAUGUGGCAUCCCAAAUAGCUGUUGUGUCUCAAGG